AGCGAACGCUGGCGGCAGGCUUAACACAUGCAAGUCGAGCGGGCAUCCUUGUGGUGUCAGCGGCAGACGGGUGAGUAACGCGUGGGAACGUGCCCUUCGGUUCGGAAUAACUCAGGGAAACUUGAGCUAAUACCGGAUACGCCCUUUUGGGGGAAGGUUUACUGCCGAAGGAUCGGCCCGCGUCUGAUUAGCUAGUUGGUGAGGUUAUGGCUCACCAAGGCGACGAUCAGUAGCUGGUCUGAGAGGAUGAUCAGCCACACUGGGACUGAGACACGGCCCAGACUCCUACGGGAGGCAGCAGUGGGGAAUAUUGGACCAUGGGGGCAACCCUGAUCCAGCCAUGCCGCGUGAGUGAUGACGGCCUUAGGGUUGUAAAGCUCUUUUCUCCGGGACGAUAAUGACGGUACCGGAGGAAUAAGCCCCGGCUAACUUCGUG
rnacentral:rRNA from 1 species